UCGUGUACUUGCCGUGCCUGGCCGGGCCGGGCCAUUUGGGCAGGUUAGGAUACGAGUUCGGCUAUGUGUGGAUGCUCUCCCCCUAAAAAAAAGGCUAUAUGGAUGCUCUGAAAGCUGUAGCUUCCCCCGGCAUCCCCAAGCCGUUGCAGUAGUGGCGUGUUGGGGUUCAUCGGCGAACAUCCCCCAACGGCGCUCAUGCUCGAAGGGGGCUUGCCAUGUUCAACCCCAUCUCCGGCGAUUGGCUCCUCGCCCACAUCAGCCGCGUGGUCCUCGACGACGACGCCCUCGCGCUCCUCCUCCUCCUCCGCCUCGACAAGACUCUCUCCAGCCUCUCGCUCCACCUCCUCGCACACUCCUGCAGGAUGUGCCUUGGCUGAAAAAACGGAGAGGAUGCGUGGUUCCUUAGAUGAAUGCAAAGGUAAAACAUGUUCCUUCUUGUAACGUUUAGCUGGCAUAACCUUUUUCCUUCUUCUUUUCCAGCAAAUGAAAAAUUCUCAGGCGUCAACAGCAUGCCAGAAAGAUUGAGGCUGUCUUUUAUAUGUGUGGGCAUGCAGUUGCUACUUUGAGGUGGCAGUUUUCUGCUAUAAAUUGCAGCUGAAGCAUGGAAUGUCUUACCAGUGGAUGGUAACGUUGUGAGAUGCUUGGUUGACGACCUUGACAAGAACAUUAUCGCCUUCCCUUGCAUAGAGGGUCGGCCCCGGGAACUUGCCAUUAACAGUGAGGAUGGACUUGGUUGAGCAAAGCCGUGUCAUGUUCCUCAUAACCACCUGCACGAGUGAAACCAUGGUAAACCAUCACGGCAGCCUGAGUUCUGUAGCCGCCUCAUGGUGUAAGGGUGGCCGUUUUGUCUUUUUUUAUUGGCGCUGGGCCAGAUUGGUUUUCACAGUAUUAUGUUGCAUCAGAAAGGAAAAUGACAUUUCGAAAUUAUGGCAAAGAAAGCAUUGUACUCCAUAUCGGGUUGUGUAAAGAGUGGUGCAAUGCUAUACGACCCUGGCUACAUGCAGAAAAGAGUCAUUAGCUAUUUAUUGCUCCUCCGUGUCGGGUGAUGGCAUGGACGCUGAGAGCCUGAAGCAGGAAGCAGCUGGCCAUGAGGGGGAGGAGCAGCUGAUCAAGACGGCGAGGCAUGGCCAUGCUGCCUGGCACUGGCAGAGCUACCUGAUCGGAGGAGACAAGGACG